UCAAAAACAGUUCAACUUGUCAACUUCUGUAUCUAUUUAAAAGAAUUACUUAAAAUUCAUCAGAAUUCAAAAUCCCAUCAUUUCGCCUGUAUUUAUAUAGCCUCAUGAAUACCGAAUGGGCGGGCGCCGGUCUGCAUUUAGGCGCUUAAAAACUCGCUCAACAAACUCUGCAGCCGUAUCGUCUAUUUGCUUGUCUAUAAUAUUUCACCGCAGCUGCAGUAAGCUGUGCAAAUACCUUGACUGAAAUUUGCGUUUGAAAGACGAACAAAAUAAAAGCACAAUCUUGUGCUCAGUCAACAUCACUGAAUUUGUUUUGCAUUUUAGAACUAAAACUGUACACUGAAAAAAAGUGAAUCGAUUGGCCGUUUGACUUCGAAUCUAAAUCUGUAAGAAUUGCUUAAAACAUAACGAGAAUGUAAGCAAAACGAGUUUUUCGUGUGCGAUUGCGAGAGAGUGAGAAUCUCGAUUGGUAGCAGUCACAGCACAGUAAACUCAUUUUGGAUGUACACAUCAUGAUUUCGAUGUGACUCUUUUUUUAGUAGGUUGAAUUAUGCUGUAAAAGUUGAAAUUAUGAAGCAAAGAGAAAUAGAUUGUAGCCGGUAUGCAUGGUGUAUGUUGUGUAAAAAGUACACGCAACAUCGAUCUGAAUAUGUAUACGUAUCGAUUUGUGUGUGUGUGUGUAUCUUAACGCAUGAUUUGUGUUGCGGACGGUCGUUCAAUCGUUCGUUCUCAUUGACGUGGUGCAUUGAGAAUCGGUGUGUGACCAGCGAUCGAAUAUCGCAUAUGUUUCACAGUUUGUUUUGUCAAUUGUAAACGAGUGGUUUGGUUUAAGUGUUGUUUGUCUUUUUGUUCAGUGUUGUGUUGUCACAAGUCAAUAUAAUAUAGAGCACGUGCAUUUGACGCUAAAAAGACAAGAUAACAAUACGACAAAAAAUUAUCGCCGCAAACGAAAUUGUAUUUAAGCGAAUACAGGCUCUUCGUUAGCCAUUCAUUUGGAAUUCAGUCUUUACAGUAGCAACCAUUUCGACAAAUUCAUUAAUUCGACAUUUUUUUAAUAAAGUAA